rnacentral:rRNA from 1 species
GACGUAGGAGGCGAGCGUUGUCCGGAUUCAUUGGGCGUAAAGAGCGCGCAGGCGGCUUGGUAAGUCGGAUGUGAAAACCCGAGGCUCAACCUCGGGCGUGCAUCCGAAACUGCUCGGCUAGAGGUAGGUAGGGGAGAUCGGAAUUCCUGGUGUAGCGGUGAAAUGCGCAGAUAUCAGGAGGAACACCGACGGCGAAGGCAGCUCGCUGGGACGUGAGCUGACGCUGGAAACGCGAAAGCGUGGGGAGCAAACAGG